UCACAUUCUUUACCUCCAUAUCUAUCAUUAAUUUUAAACCCACGAUUAAGGCUUCAUAUUCGGCUUGAUUGUUGGUGCACAUCCUAUCCAAAGUGAAUGCGAACUUGUAACAAAUCCCUACAGAAUUUAUCAAUGCUACUACUACUCCUGCACCUUUAGAGGUUUUCGACCCAUCGAAUAUGAAACCCAAGGUUUUAAUUCGAAUGAAUUGAUUUCUAAUUCAAUUUCCUCAGACAUGUCAAGGCAUGGAUGAUCGGCUAGAAAGUUAGCCAAAGCCUGAUUUUUUAUUGCCUUUUGGGGUAUGUAUUGUAUUUCGAAUUCUGAUAAUGCUAACGUCCAAAAGCCUACCCUCUGAUGUAAAAUAGGGCGAGAGAACAUAUACUUAACCAAAUUUACUCUACAAAUCAAAUAAACGGUUACGGACCGUAAAUAAGCCCUUAAUUUCGUACACGUGAAAUACAAUGCAAGAUAUAAUUUUUCAAUGGUAGAGUAAUUACAUUCACAUUUUGUUAACCGUCUACUCAAGUAGUUAAUCGCUCUCUCUUCACCAAAUUGGUCUUCUUGCGCGACCAUUCCAGCUAUUGAUUCUUGUUCAGCCGAUAUAUACACUUUCAUUGGCCGUCUUUGGAUUGAUAACUCCAAUACUGGUGGACUUGAUAAAUAUGUCUUUAGGCUUUUCAGACGAAUUCGUCCUGAUUUUUCAGCUUUAAAAGUGGCGAAAAAAUUUUAGUUCGCCCUGCACAGUUAGAAAUAAAGCAUCUUAAAAAAUUUACUUGGCUUAGCAACAUUUGCAAUUCUUUUUUAUUGCUAGGUGGUUUGGCCUCUAAAAUGGCCUAAGCUUUAUUUUUAUCAAGUUCAAUCCCCCUUUUAUGUACUAAGAAAUCAAGGAAGUUUCCUGCAUUAACGCUAAAUGCACAUUUCAAGGGAUUCAAUUUUAGUUUAUAUUGCUUCAUUCGCUCAAAUGAACAUCUCAAUUGUUCAAAAUGAUCCUCUUCUUUAAUGAAUUUGACCACUAUAUAAUCUACAUACACCUCAACAAACUUGCCUAUCAUAUCAUGAAAAAUCAAGUUCAUUGCCCUUUGAUAAGUCGCUCCUGCAUUUUUCAGGCCAAA
rnacentral:lncRNA from 1 species